GUCAUUUUUAAUAUCUAGUUAAAUCUUUUGUUGAUAAAAUAAGUAAAGAGUUCAAUCUUUUGAAGCAAAAGGUUGGAUUCUAGGAGUUCUUCUUGACGUUUAACAUACAUCCCUCUGACAACAAUGAAUUUAAAACAGAAUGUGUGCACGUAACAAUUCAACUCUAAACGGGCUUUGCUAAUUGCCUGGAAAUAGCAGGAGCAAAAAGUUGAAAACAGUCUCAAAGUACACGAACGGCCUCUGGCCCUACACUGAAAAACUGAGAGAGUGAGAUCAAGAGAGAGAAACGAGCCCCUCAGCAAAAUUAAAAGUCGUAUAGUUCCUGUUUAGCGCCACUGGCAUGGUAGUUUCUGGAGCCGCAGUGCAAAUCACAGCUCAAAAAUGUUCAGCGGGGCCCCGGCUCGUGCCGCGAAAAGGCUUUCAAAAAAACAUUUAAGUUUAUCAACGGCCCUUCCAGGAGAAGUGUAGGGCAAAGUUACUGCAGAACCUUCCCAUCAAAGCUUCACAGAAAGAAGUCGAAAAUACAGGACGGAACCAAUACAACGAGGACUAUGCGGACAGAGAGAGAAAACCAGAAACCGUUGUUCACAAGCAAAACACAGUGCUAUUGUCAAGGCGGUGUUUGACCAUACACAAGCCCCACGUGGGUGUCGGGGUGACCCUGUGACUUCACAGGCAUUUCUGUCUGGACCAUCUUCCUAGGCUGCCCCACCUCCUGUCCUUCAGAAUACGGGGCAGUGGCAGCACUGGAAUGUCAAGCCUGUCUGAAGGGCAUCUGGUUCAGCCGUUUUGAGGUGGAGGGAGGGGAGGGAGAGACCCUCAGGGAAGGAGCAAAGAGGAAACCGCAUCAUCGAGAUGAGCACUUCCUGUUGGUGUGAACCUCUCUCUCUCCUCUUCCACCCAGAAGAUCCGAGAGGCCGCGGUGGGUCUGAGGCUGAUGUGCAGAUUCGCCCACUGGCCUCUUUCCCACUCCAGUGGAGCAAACAGUGUUGCAGAUGGGGAAGGCGGGCUUCGACAGCACCCAGUUAAGCUGAUGGUCACACUUGACACCCUGGGAUGAAGCAAAGCAGGCCACCUGGCAGGAACAUUACACCAACCUGCCAGCUGAACCCUGCAAAUCCACAGCUCCUUGAUUGGCUAAGCAGGGGCUUUGAACUAACUCCAUUAUUCAAAGUGAAGACACCCCUGGGGAGAGACAGCAGCAGCUGUACCAGAUAAAACUUCGUAUCAAUAAUUUAGCAGAGAGGAGAUUUUGAUAGGAUACAGGAAAAGGGAUCCAGAAAUGAAAUAAAUUGUGCAAGGCAACUGUU